rnacentral:rRNA from 1 species
CAAUAGCGUAUAUUAAAGUUGUUGCAGUUAAAAAGCUCGUAGUUGGAUUUGUGGCGUACGGUGUGUUCCGGGCACUUGUUGUCUGAGUAACCUGCUGUUGCCAUCCUUGGGUGGAACCUGUGUGGCAUUAGGUUGUCGUGCAGGGGAUGCCCAUCAUUUACUGUGAAAAAAUUAGAGUGUUCAAAGCAGGCCUAUGCCGUUGAAUAUAUUAGCAUGGAAUAAUGAGAUAGGACUUUUUUGCUAUUUUGUUGGUUUGCGCAAGAAGGUAAUGAUUAAUAGGGACAGUUGGGGGUAUUCGUAUUCCAUUGUCAGAGGUGAAAUUCUUGGAUUUUUGGAAGACGAACUACUGCGAAAGCAUUUACCAAGGAUGUUUUCAUUAA